CCUACGGGUGGCAGCAGUAAGGAAUAUUGGUCAAUGGACGAAAGUCUGAACCAGCCAUGCCGCGUGGAGGAUGAAGGUCCUCUGGAUUGUAAACUUCUUUUAUAUGGGACGAAAAAAGGCCUUUCUAGGCCGUCUGACGGUACCAUAUGAAUAAGCACCGGCUAACUCCGUGCCAGCAGCCGCGGUAAUACGGAGGGUGCAGGCGUUAUCCGGAUUCACUGGUGUGAAGGGGUGCUUAGAAGUCUGGGUAGAAAGCUCCGAGCUUAACUUGGAAACUGCCAUUGAUACUAUUAAUCUUGAAUAUUGUGGAGGUUAGCGGAAUAUGUCAUGUAGCGGUGAAAUGCUUAGAUAUGACAUAGAACACCAAUUGCGAAGGCAGCUGGCUACACAUAUAUUGACACUGAGGCACGAAAGCGUGGGGAUCAAACAGGAUUAGAUACCCUUGUAGUC
rnacentral:rRNA from 1 species